rnacentral:lncRNA from 1 species
GUUAUGAGUUACAGAGACCUGCAGGCAAAGCUGAAACUUUAAGCUGAUCCCCUGCCUCAGAAAGGGUAUAGAGUAACACAUCUUUGCUCAGCUUGAAGAAAGACAAGGCUGGAAGCAGGGGCCUUAUCAGGGGCCUAUCUUCCAAGCCUAGCCACCAUGUGAAAUACCUUGAGCCUGAUUGCAGGUUAAUGUAGUCACAGUCUGUUUAAGCUGACCUCAGACAGCUGUUGGAAGAAUGGCUACCUUGCUGUUCUGCUUUGUGCCUGCUGCCAUGUGGGCUGGUCCUGCUUGAUGAUGGAUCCAAAAAUUAGUCUGAAGUAGAAAAGGAUAAGAUUUUGGUUGGAUCUGUGUACCCUGAGGCUAUGGGGUUGUUGGGCCCAACUUGAGGGAGAAGGUACAAAUCUGUGAUCAGAGGAGCAGGAGAGGUGACUUGUCCUCUGGGCAGCUGCUUCUGGUCAAGUUGGUGUCAGCCAUUUGUGAGCACUGAAGAGAUCAUCUGCUCUGUGGAGAGGACAUCUGUCUGAGCCAUGAAGUGACACCUGGCAGCCUUAUUUUCUUUACUGUUCUGCUCUAUGGAGAAAGCAAUCGUUUGCGAAAGGAAACCUGUAUCAUCCACAGGCUGGGAUCACGCAUGCUGUUGGUAGUGGAGGGGCACUGCUCUGUGCAGGAGACAUAACCAGUGGCUUUGCCUUCCUGACCCCUCAUGUAGUGAACCUGCAUGCCUACUCUGCCUGAGCUGUGCAGUAUUUGGCUUCUCUGCUGGUAGCAAAACCUGUGCUUACCAGCACUUGUCAGUGCUAACAUCAGUCCCCUGCAGAGUAGAACUCUGUCCAUCCCCCUAGCCCUCCAUUUCUAAAGAUACAGUUUUCUUUGUAUUUCUCAUUUUCUUGUCCCUUUACUUUACACAUGGUGAUGCUAGAGCAAACUCAAUGAGG